rnacentral:sRNA from 1 species
CGCUGAACCGCGACAUAUAGUUUGAAAAUAAUUUCAAAAAUGCCAUUUAGGAUAAUUUUUUAAAUCAGUAUAUGCCGCGGUUGGGAGUGAAACCGCGACAUAUACCCCUUUUAUACCGCGGGUAAGUAGUGAACCGCGGUAGAUUCCCCAGUUCAGAGUUAAAAAACAAAACUUGGAACAGUGAUCGUCUUCUUCGCGUGCUCUGUUCGCGUUUUCUUCUCCUCCGACAGCCAUCAUCUCAGUUUUAGCCGAUCAAAAUCGUUUGAAACUCG